rnacentral:miRNA from 1 species
CGGAAAACUCGCACGUG